AUGUCCCUACGGGGGGCAGCAGUAGGGAAUAUUGGGCAAUGGGCGCAAGCCUGACCCAGCAACGCCGCGUGAAGGAAGAAGGCUUUCGGGUUGUAAACUUCUUUUCUCAGGGACGAAGCAAGUGACGGUACCUGAGGAAUAAGCCACGGCUAACUACGUGCCAGCAGCCGCGGUAAUACGUAGGUGGCAAGCGUUAUCCGGAUUUACUGGGUGUAAAGGGCGUGUAGCCGGGACUGCAAGUCAGAUGUGGAAACCACGGGCUCAACCUGUGGCCUGCAUUUGAAACUGUAGUUCUUGAGUACUGG
rnacentral:rRNA from 1 species